GAACGCACCUUGCGCCCUUUGGCUAUUCUGAAGGGCAUGCCUGUUUGAGUAUCAGUAAACACCUCAACUCCCUUUCUUCUUGAAAUGGAGCUGGACUUGAGUGAUCCCAACGCUUUAUUCAUAAAGUGGCGGGUUACUUUAAAUGCCGGGGCAGCUGGACUUUUCUCUGAGCUAUAAGCAUAUCUAUUUAGUCUGCCUCAAAACAGAUUAUUACCUUUGCUGCAGCUAACAUAAAGGAGAUUAGUUCUUGUGCUGACUGAUGCAGGAUUCACAAAGACCGCUUCGGCUGUCUUUGUAAACUCGAUCUCAAAUCAAGUAAGACUACCCGCUGAACUUAAG
rnacentral:misc_RNA from 1 species